GGGGGAGGGCAGGAUGGGGAGAUCUUUCCUGCAAGAGGAAAAGGGUAAAACAACCACUUGUGAAACAUGCAGCAGUCAGAGCGUCUGCUGGAGACAGGACAAGGAAAAGGAGAUACAGUUUCUUCCAGCUGAGCCAAAUCCGCUGAAAACAAGGGCACUGUUACCCUCAGCCAGCCACCCUUCUUCGCGAGUGCCAGGCUCCAGUCCAUCACGUGUGAGAACCCAUGCAUCACAAAAGCAGGCAUUUUACCCGAGCCCAGCCGCUGAAGAAGAAAAGAGGGUGAAUCGCUCCAUAGAAGAAGAGCCAAGCUGUGGGGUUUGCUUUUUUUUAAGGAAGGGGACACCGCGAGGUUAAGCCAAGCCCGCCCUACGUGCCGGUUCUGUAAUUCCCUCCACACCACCGAUGCACACAGGAGGUCCUGCUCCUUCCACUGCCUCUGAUCUCGUUUGCAGGAAACUAGCUUUGCUCUUUCUCUCGCCCUGUACUGCAGAUAUUUCCCCCAAACACACACACACACUUCUGUUUAUCGGUCUGUUAGGCAGAGCUACUUUGUAAACAUCUCACACAGAGCCCCAGAGCCUUUUCAAAUAGCUGAUUGCACCAAAAUGCCUCCAAACAAAUGAUGGUCCAGGGGAAGACAAAUUCUAGAUCUGUAGCUGCACAGAUGACAUGAAGAUAGCCUAUGAUGGGGAAGAGGACAGAAAAAGUAUAGCCUUAAAAAUGAUGGGGAAAGUAAAAACAUAAACGACUGCAGCAAACUGACUACCCUCUGCCUCAGAACUCCCUCCAGCCCCCGCAAAAAUGAACAUGAACACACAAACCUUAAAUCUACUAUUCCUACCUUAACAGUGCUACAGCUGCAGCUGCACGGAGGUCCUUUUUUACUCAGCCAAAUUCUUCCACGGAAUCCUGACAGGAUAUCAGACAACAGGAAUUAUUCAAACAAGGCUCCCUUCUGUUUUUUGGAAUCCAACGCGAUUUUCUUGUCCAAAGGAAUGCAACGACCACAAAAAAAUAAAAAUAAAAAAGCAACAACA
rnacentral:lncRNA from 1 species